rnacentral:rRNA from 1 species
GAGAUGUGUGAUGACGCAUAUCAAUAAGCGGAGGAAAAGAAACUAACAAGGAUUCCCCUAGUAACGGCGAGUGAAGCGGGAAGAGCUCAAAUUUGAAAUCUUAAAGGGUUUCCCUUGACGAAUUGUAGUUUAAAGAAGUGUUUUCUGUAGUGGAGUUCGGUAAAAGUUCUUUGGAAUAGGACAUCAUAGAGGGUGAGAAUCCCGUAUUUGACCGUUACUUCCUAGCUGUGUGAUACACUUUCAAAGAGUCGGAUUGUUUGGGAAUGCAGUCCAAAGAUGGGUGGUAAAUUUCAUCUAAAGCUAAAUAUUGGCGAGAGACCGAUAGCGAACAAGUACCGUGAGGGAAAGAUGAAAAGAACUUUGAAAAGAGAGUUAAACAGUACGUGAAAUUGUCAAAAGGGAAGCGUUUGACACCAGUGUUGUUUAGUUGAAAAUCAAUUCAAUAGUUUUUGAUUCUAAGUAGUAUUGACUUCAUCAGCUUGCUGCUUUCUUCUCAGAAAUUAUUGAAUGCACUUUUCAGUUAACAAGUCAACAUCAAUUUCUUUUGUUGUAAAAGGGUAAGAGGAAGGUGGCUUGCGCUUCGGCUCAAGUGUUUAUAGCCUUUUAUCUCUGCAAUCGGAGAGAUUGAGGUCUGCAGCGUAGAUCCUUCGGGGUUAGAUACACUUGGUGCUAAGCUAUAGCCUUGUAUAGACAACUUGUUGACUAUGCUCAGUCAUGUAGCUUACUCGCUGAUGCUAUUUUACCUACGCUUAGGAUGUUGAAGAUGUAGCACAUCAU